GCACAUUGUUCGUCCUCAAUGAGGGUGCAAUAAACUAAUGUGACAUUCUUUUCUUUCUAUUCCCCCAGGUGAAUCCUACAACAUUGAACGCAGCAAAAGAGACCCUCAAUCCCCAUAUUGCUAACCCCAUGCAAUGCAAAGUGCCGGUAUAGGACCGUCUCCUUGUUUCCUCUCCUGACCUGAUACCUGUGCUGUUUAAAACGGAUCUCCAUGGAGUAUUUGGAUUCUCCAAUGUACAGUUUCUGGCAACUCGAGCAUCUAAUUGCGUACACCACAUUAGAUCAACUUAAAAGAACCCAGGUCCUCCAGGGUCUCCUGGGCCUGUCCAAGGUUGUGCCUUAAUUGGCCACCCAAA